UUUGCUUGCGCAACAACUUCCAUCCUUCAUUCUUCUUCAGUCGUCUGUGAAGCCUUAUUUUUGGCUUGUCAGAUUGUCGGGUUUCCUGUGUUGCCUACCUAAGUUAUGGUAUUCUCUUGAUCGAUCCUAGACCCUUUUCGUCUUUUGUCAUUCACAUGAUGCAAGAUGAACCACGAAGUAGUCUCUUUGUACCACAUUGUCAAUGCAUGCGUUGAUGUUGUGGCCCAUUGAGCGUUGCUUGGUUUCAUGAACACAGAACAUGAUGUGGGCAUGGGAUUAAUUCCUUGUUUUGUCCUACAAUAGCGUUGCACCACUCCUUCAGUGACAACCUUCCGCAACGGCUUGUUCCAGCGGGUUAUGGGGUUCGUCAUUCUACGAGUAGUGCAACGUGCAUUUAUCUAAGCGACUUGCCUCCCCGCCCGGCUAGUACCAACGGGGUAGGUUUGUCAAUUAGGAAUGCUACCUGGUUGAUCCU
rnacentral:misc_RNA from 1 species